AAGUGCCUUAAUCGAAGCCAUGUUACGUGUAUAUACAUAGGUGAUGUGGUCAAAAUUUAGGCUAUAACAAAUUCAACAGACGGUCGCAGAUUAUUUACUUCCUUAAUAUUGCAUACAAAAUGUUGAAUACAUUU